GGUUGCCUGUUUGAGAGCGAGCUGUGUUCACCAUAUGAGAUCUGUGUGAACGAGCUGUAAUGGGGCUCAUCUUGAAGGAGCUGACUCAGCAUGGAAGAGACUACGGUUCCAGUUCCACUUUAAUUGACCUUCGUUAACUCGACAAGAGCAGAGCUGAUUUCUCGGCUGCCCAAUGUGUGCUGUGGAGAAGUGUUGUUAUUCCUGUGCUGAAUACAGAGUGUGUAAAACAUCAGGCCUGCGGAUUUUUACAAGAAAACAUUAAAACCAUGAAAAGCA